rnacentral:rRNA from 1 species
UACCAGCACCCCGAGUGGUCGGGACGUUUAUUGGGCCUAAAGCAUCCGUAGCCGGUUCUACGAGUCUUCCGUUAAAUCCAACUGCUUAACAGGUGGGCUGCGGAAGAUACUAUAGAGCUAGGAGGCGGGAGAGGCAAGCGGUACUCGAUGGGUAGGGGUAAAAUCCGUUGAUCCAUUGAAGACCACCAGUGGCGAAGGCGGCUUACUGGUCCGGUUCGAUGCUGAGGCGCGAAAGCGUGGGGAGCAACAGGG